UACGUAGGGUGCAAGCGUUGUCCGGAAUUAUUGGGCGUAAAGAGCUCGUAGGCGGUUUGUCGCGUCUGCUGUGAAAUCCCGAGGCUCAACCUCGGGUCUGCAGUGGGUACGGGCAGACUAGAGUGUGGUAGGGGGAGAUUGGAAUUCCUGGUGUAGCGGUGAAAUGCGUAGAGAUCCGGAGGAACACCAAAGGCGAAGGCAGUGUCCUGGGGAGUACCUGACGCUCAGGUGCGAAAGCCAGGGGAGCGAACGGG
rnacentral:rRNA from 1 species